UAAGUGUUUCGAAACAAGGGUUUUUCACCUAUUUUCCAUUUUCCCUCUAUUUUCAUUAAUCUUUGGUUUUCCCGGCCAUCCUAAAAAGACCUAUCUACCCUUGCCUUAUCUAAUUGUAUCGAUCAGGGAGGGGAUCGAUCCCUUUCUCAUCCCAGAAACCAUAUCGUUAGGAGGCCGCUCCCUGGAGGCCUGCUCCCGUCGCCCCCAUCCUAGCGAGCGGCAGCCCCAUCUCCGGCAAACGGCGGCGCCCAUCUCCGGCAAGCGGCGGCACCCGCGUGCUCCCUGACCAGGCCCCGGCAAGGUCCCGCGAGGGCUGGGCGUGCGUAGGAGGAGCGCCGCGGAUGUGGCCGCCCUCCCGCCCUACCUAGGGUUUCGGGUGCCGGCAAGAACGGGCCGAAUCCACCGGCCUGAGGGAGAGCCAUGAUCCCCUUCGAAGUUUCUGCUACGUAAGAUCUAAAAUCCCUAAGCUUCUGCUGUUUUUUUUAGGAUUGAAGUGGGGAGAUGUCGUGUGUCUUGCAUAUGCUCACUGAUGCAUAUGCUUUUGUUUUGUUCCGUUACUCGGUAGGGUCCAUCCGGAUGCAGCAUUUGUACUAGGCGUUCAUGUAGGUCAGUUCUCAGUGGUCCUUGAUGGUGCCUCUGUUAUGGAAAUUCCACGCAAGUACUAUGAAUGGGUUGUGGACUGUAGAAAUUACAAUUUGGAGAGGCUACAGGAAGACUUGGCAAGCCGGGUGAAAUGGGGCCCUAGGCAGCAAGCAAAGAUUAGCCACUUUGAUAUGAGCAGAGGAAGGGAAAGAAAGGUGGAGGAUGAUACAAUUUUGUCUGCUGCUUUCUCUGAGCUGAAGGAUGAGAAGAAGCUAUUUUUAUUUGUUGAUGUGGUUGAGAAGGAAACUGAAUCAGCGGUGACAUUAGUGGAAUCAAUCAAUGAUUUAGUUGGUACACAUGGUAGUGGAGGUGUACAAUAUAUUGCUAAUGUUGGGCCAGCUAUAGAAUCAAGCAAUGUGGGCACUAGUGGUCUGGUUGGGGCAGCUAUAGAAUCAAGUGCAGAGGAAGGCAUAGCACAUGUUACCUGAUUUUUGUAGCCAAACUGCUUUAAGCUUGGAAGUCCAAACAAGUCCUUGUGCCAACAUACAGAGAACUACUAUCACCACAAGUCCUGGUCCUAUGACUCGAAGGCAGCUGGCAUUAACCAUGGAAGGUGAAGCCACUACUGCUACGACCUCUCCUACUACUACUGCGUCCUCUCCUACUACUGCAGUCACCCCCUUCGGAGGAAGCAAUUAGCUGUGAAGAAGAAGAUCACUCCAAGGAAGGCAAAAAAAUGAUGUUCUUCAUGCAAAACUGUUAUGUUUAGCUAAACUUGUCUUGCUGUUUUGUUGGGAAACUAUGAACCCCAAUACUAUGUUUCAUGGCUGCUUUUGUGGAACUGGAUGAUGUUGUGACCAUGUGUUUAUGUGCUAUUUAGGAGGCCCCUAAUGCUAUCUGAUGCUACAUAUAUUGCAA